AUCCAUUUUCCCCAUAGGAUGCAUGACUUUUCAAAUCACAGAAGUGCGUUGUUCUCUAGAAUCAGCUCUCUCUUUUGAAAGGUCAAAAC
rfam:Ornithorhynchus anatinus Cont3.382, whole genome shotgun sequence.